rnacentral:misc_RNA from 1 species
GAUGAAGAACGUAGCGAAAUGCGAUAAGUAAUGCGAAUUGCAGAAUUUCCGUGAGUCAUCGAAUCUUUGAACGCACAUUGCGCCCGCUAGUAUUCUGGCGGGCAUGCCUGUUCGAGCGUCAUUUCAACCAUCAAGCCCUGCUUGUGUUGGGGUCCUGCGGCUGCCCGCAGGCCCUGAAAACCAGUGGCGGGCUCGCUAGUCACACCGAGCGCAGUAGCACAUCUCGCUCAGGGCGUGCGGCGGGUUCUUGCCGUAAAACACCCCCUUUUUACCAAGGUUGACCUCGGAUCAGGUAGGAAUACCCGCUGAACUUAAGCAUAUCAAUAAGCGGAGGA